AUUGAACGCUGGCGGCAUGCUUUACACAUGCAAGUCGAACGGUAACAGGCCUUCGGGUGCUGACGAGUGGCGAACGGGUGAGUAAUGCAUCGGAACGUGCCCAAUCGUGGGGGAUAACGUAGCGAAAGUUACGCUAAUACCGCAUAAGCCCUGAGGGGGAAAGUGGGGGACCGCAAGGCCUCACGCGAAUGGAGCGGCCGAUGUCAGAUUAGCUAGUUGGUGGGGUAAAGACCCACCAAGGCGACGAUCUGUAGCGGGUCUGAGAGGAUGAUCCGCCACACUGGGACUGAGACACGGCCCAGACUCCUACGGGAGGCAGCAGUGAGGAAUAUUGGUCAAUGGAGGCAACUCUGAACCAGCCAUGCCGCGUGUAGGAAGAAUGCCCUAUGGGUUGUAAACUACUUUUAUUGGGGAAGAAACCCUUCUACGUGUAGAAGGCUGACGGUACCCAAGGAAUAAGGACCGGCUAACUCCGUG
rnacentral:rRNA from 1 species